AUUGAACGCUGGCGGCAGGCUUAACACAUGCAAGUCGAGCGGAGAUGAGGUGCUUGCACCUUAUCUUAGCGGCGGACGGGUGAGUAAUGCUUAGGAAUCUGCCUAUUAGUGGGGGACAACAUUCCGAAAGGAAUGCUAAUACCGCAUACGUCCUACGGGAGAAAGCAGGGGAUCUUCGGACCUUGCGCUAAUAGAUGAGCCUAAGUCGGAUUAGCUAGUUGGUGGGGUAAAGGGCUACCAAGGCGACGAUCAGUAGCGGGUCUGAGAGGAUGAACCGCAGCACUGGGACUGGGACACGGGCCAGACUCCGACGGGAGGCAGGGGUGGGGAAUAUUGGACAAUGGGGAGGACCCUGAUCCAGCCAUGCCGCGUGUGUGAAGAAGGCCUUAUGGUUGUAAAGCACUUUAAGCGAGGAGGAGGCUACUGAGACUAAUACUCUUGGAUAGUGGACGUUACUCGCAGAAUAAGCACCGGCUAACUCUGUGCCAGCCGCCGCAGUAACAC
rnacentral:rRNA from 1 species